GGUGGACCCAGGAAUGACCACUCUGGAGGUCCAGGGGCAAGUGGUCCUCAGGGACAGAGAGGGAGGCAGAGGCCACUCCUGGAAUCAUCCUGACUGUGAGGCAGAUGUGGAGAGCUGUAUAAGAUUCUCCCCUUUCCUUAUAGGAGGCUCUGUGGAAGACCGUGGGCCAGAGCAUCAGCCAGAAUCAGACAGAACACGAGAAGCACCAGCUGUCACCACCCUCUCCCAGUCAGUGAAAUCAUCAGGCCCAUGGUGAGAGAUUCCCCAGGAUCUGCUCAGGUUCAAAGCCACCCAGUUGGUCAGGAGAGCACCCGGCCUAAGGUUCCUCAAGUGUCCUUGGCCUCACAAAUCCCCACCCAGCAACCCCCAAGUCCCAGAAAAAUGCAGUGACUCAACACAGAGUAAAUCCACCGUGCUGGAAGUCAG
rnacentral:lncRNA from 1 species